AUGGCAGGAGGGGCGAACCUCCAUGGGACGGAUCGCCACCAAGGAGAUGGAGCUCCUUCUCCAUCCAAUUUGGCCAUCUCCGGCCGCCUCCUCCAGAUCCUCGCCGACCACGGGCCCCUCACCGUCGGCAACACCUGGAACCAUGCCAAGGUCACCCAUCCUCGAGGAGCAGAAGGAGGGACGCAUCUAGCUGGCCAUCAAGGGCCUGCUCUGCUCCUCUUCUUCCUUGACCAUCGGUACCACCACGUUCUCGGGCUUCCAAGGCGCGCCAGCACACCGCCGCCAUGCCUCCUCUUCUCUCCGGGCUCGGACCAAUCGCUCGACCCUUCAGCACAAGCCCUGCAGCAGCCGACGUGGGUUCAAGUGUCCCCUCCCCUGAUGGCUAUAAAUUUACCAUGCUCUGCUAAUUUCUAUGCGAGCACUGUUAGGCAUUCGUUUGUAUUUGCAAAUUAG
rnacentral:rRNA from 1 species